rnacentral:rRNA from 1 species
CAGUAGCCGCGGUAAUACGAAGGGGGCUAGCGUUGCUCGGAAUGACUGGGCGUAAAGGGCGCGUAGGCGGUUUUGACAGUCAGAUGUGAAAUUCCUGGGCUUAACCUGGGGGCUGCAUUUGAGACGUCAAGACUAGAGUGUGAGAGAGGGUUGUGGAAUUCCCAGUGUAGAGGUGAAAUUCGUAGAUAUUGGGAAGAACACCGGUGGCGAAGACGGCAACCUGGCUCAUUACUGACGCUGAGGCGCGAAAGCGUGGGGAGCAAACAGGAUUAGAUACCCGCGUAGUCCCUGUCUCUUAUAC